GUUUGAUCAUGGCUCAGAUUGAACGCUGGCGGCAGGCCUAACACAUGCAAGUCGAGCGGGGGAAGGUAGCUUGCUACUGGACCUAGCGGCGGACGGGUGAGUAAUGCUUAGGAAUCUGCCUAUUAGUGGGGGACAACAUCUCGAAAGGGAUGCUAAUACCGCAUACGUCCUACGGGAGAAAGCAGGGGAUCUUCGGACCUUGCGCUAAUAGAUGAGCCUAAGUCGGAUUAGCUAGUUGGUGGGGUAAAGGCCUACCAAGGCGACGAUCUGUAGCGGGUCUGAGAGGAUGAUCCGCCACACUGGGACUGAGACACGGCCCAGACUCCUACGGGAGGCAGCAGUGGGGAAUAUUGGACAAUGGGGGGAACCCUGAUCCAGCCAUGCCGCGUGUGUGAAGAAGGCCUUAUGGUUGUAAAGCACUUUAAGCGAGGAGGAGGCUACUUUAGUUAAUACCUAGAGAUAGUGGACGUUACUCGCAGAAUAAGCACCGGCUAACUCUGUGCCAGCAGCCGCGGUAAUACAGAGGGUGCGAGCGUUAAUCGGAUUUACUGGGCGUAAAGCGUGCGUAGGCGGCUUAUUAAGUCGGAUGUGAAAUCCCCGAGCUUAACUUGGGAAUUGCAUUCGAUACUGGUGAGCUAGAGUAUGGGAGAGGAUGGUAGAAUUCCAGGUGUAGCGGUGAAAUGCGUAGAGAUCUGGAGGAAUACCGAUGGCGAAGGCAGCCAUCUGGCCUAAUACUGACGCUGAGGUACGAAAGCAUGGGGAGCAAACAGG
rnacentral:rRNA from 1 species